GACGAACGCUGGCGGCGUGCCUAACACAUGCAAGUCGAACGAGGUCCAAGGGAGCUUGCUCCCUGACGACCUAGUGGCGAACGGGUGAGUAACACGUGAGAAACCUGCCUCGGAGUGGGGAAUAACUCGGGGAAACUCGAGCUAAUACCGCAUACCUUCACAUGAACGCAUGGUCGAGUGAAGACAGAAUUUCGCUCUGAGAGGGUCUCGCGGCCUAUCAGCUUGUUGGUGGGGUAACGGCCUACCAAGGCAACGACGGGUAGCUGGUUUGAGAGAACGAUCAGCCACACUGGGACUGAGACACGGCCCAGACUCCUACGGGAGGCAGCAGUGGGGAAUCUUGCGCAAUGGGCGAAAGCCUGACGCAGCAACGCCGCGUGCGGGAUGACGGCCUUCGUGGUUGUAAACCGCUUUCAGCAGGGACGAAAAUGACGGUACCUGCAGAAGAAGCCCCGGCUAACUACGUGCCAGCAGCCGCAGUAA
rnacentral:rRNA from 1 species